ACAGAGGUCUCAAGCGUUGUUCGGAAUCACUGGGCGUAAAGGGUGCGUAGGUGGCGUGGAAAGUCAGAUGUGAAAGCCCGGGGCUCAACCCCGGAAUUGCAUCCGAUACUACCAUGCUAGAGUACUGAAGAGGUGACUAGAAUUCUAGGUGUAGCAGUGAAAUGCGUAGAUAUCUAGAGGAAUACCAAAGGCGAAGGCAGGUCACUGGGCAGUUACUGACACUGAGGCACGAAGGCCAGGGUAGCGAACAGG
rnacentral:rRNA from 1 species